rfam:Environmental sequence 2662324_fasta.screen.Contig19171, whole genome shotgun sequence.
GAAGUCCGGCCCAAGUAAGGAGUAGCGUCCGCUUGGUAGCGAGUGUUGCGCAGCCAAUGGCGACAGGGGUUGCGAAGCGUACACAGCGAUUGCAUGGGGUGUGGGAUUGAGCCACGAAAGAUCAGACAUUGCAGGGGCCGAGGGUUUUCAUUCACUCGAAGGCAACAUGUGCGGUACCGCUAUGCGAGGUGCCGUCGCCCUGCCGGGGUCCAAGGCCA